rfam:Bordetella ansorpii strain H050680373 genome assembly, contig: ERS1093620SCcontig000002
AAGCUGCCCGCAUGUUCGCUGAUUCGUCAGCACAUGCCAGCAGCCAGGGUUCCAGGCUGCGCGGAAUUCACUCCGUAUCACCCACCAGUCCGCCCAGCAUCGUCCUGCGGACGAGCGUCCUCGCGACGCCGAUGC